AGAGUCUCUCAUUGUCCUGGAGCUGCCAAUUAGUCUCAACUGCAGCCAGCAAGCCCCAGAGCUUCUCCUGUUUCUGCCUCCCUAGCACUGGGGUUAAAAGUGCAGACCACCACUCUGCACCUUUAUUUACAUGGGUCCUUGGGAUCAAGUUUAGGUCCUUCAGGCUCCAGAGGCAGGUGCAUUACCCACUGUUGUGCAUGGGCCUGAUGCUGAUCUUGUGACCCAUCCCCUAAUGAAUAAAGGAGCCAAUCACUGGGCAAGUAGGAGGGACUUCCAGGUUGGACUGAGGAAGAGAGGAAGCAGGAGAGAGUUUGGGUUUUUUUGGUUUUUUUUUUUUGGACGAGGGUAGCCUGAGAACAGGAUGUAGCUACGGGUCUCCCAGUUUCAAUGGCGGAUCCUUUAGGGUUCGCCAUCAGAGGAUUUAGAUUUAACAAGGCUUACAAGAUUGAGAUUUUAGUUGCUGUGCCCAGUGAUUGAGUUACCUUCAUUUCUGAGCUAAGUUUGUGUUGUGUUUUCCUUCACGCAGCGGCUCGUCUGGAUUCAAGAAAGAAAGC
rnacentral:lncRNA from 1 species